rnacentral:piRNA from 1 species
UCCCAUGAGACCUAUGAUGACCAUUACAGU